rnacentral:rRNA from 1 species
AUGGUUGUCGUCAGCUCGUGUCGUGAGAUGUUGGGUUAAGUCCCGCAACGAGCGCAACCCUUAUCUUCAGUAGCCAGCAGGUAAAGCCGGGCACUCUGGAGAGACUGCCGGGGAUAACCCGGAGGAAGGUGGGGAUGACGUCAAAUCAUCAUGCCCCUUAUGAUUUGGGCUACACACGUGCUACAAUGGCGUAAACAGAGGGAAGCGAGCCCGCGAGGGGGAGCAAAUCCCAAAAAUAACGUCCCAGUUCGGAUUGUAGUCUGCAACCCGACUACAUGAAGCUGGAAUCGCUAGUAAUCGCGGAUCAGAAUGCCGCGGUGAAUACGUUCCCGGGUCUUGUACACACCGCCCGUCACACCAUGGGAGUCGGAAAUGCCCGAAGUCUGUGACCUAACCGCAAGGGAGGAGCAGCCGAAGGCAGGUCGGAUGACUGGGGUGAAGUCGUAACAAGGUAGCCGUAUCGGAAGGUGCGGCUGGAUCACCUC